AUUGAACGCUGGCGGCAGGCCUAACACAUGCAAGUCGAGCGGUAGAGAGGUGCUUGCAUCUCUUGAGAGCGGCGGACGGGUGAGUAAUGCCUAGGAAUCUGCCUGGUGGUGGGGGAUAACGUUCGGAAACGGACGCUAAUACCGCAUACGUCCUACGGGAGAAAGCGGGGGGAUCUUCGGACCUCGCGCCAUUAGAUGAGCCUAGGUCGGAUUAGCUAGUUGGUGAGGUAAUGGCUCACCAAGGCGACGAUCCGUAACUGGUCUGAGAGGAUGAUCAGUCACACUGGAACUGAGACACGGUCCAGACUCCUACGGGAGGCAGCAGUGGGGAAUAUUGGACAAUGGGCGAAAGCCUGAUCCAGCCAUGCCGCGUGUGUGAAGAAGGUCUUCGGAUUGUAAAGCACUUUAAGUUGGGAGGAAGGGUAGUAACCUAAUACGUUGCUACUUUGACGUUACCGACAGAAUAAGCACCGGCUAACUUCGUGCCAG
rnacentral:rRNA from 1 species